GAGGCACAGGAUGCGCUGGAAAGAGCGCUUGAAGUUGUCCGACAGGAAGCCGUAGAGGAUGGGGUUGGCACAGCUAUUGGCAUAGCCGAGGAUGACAGACAACUGGCUCACCGUGGCGUCGUCUUGCUCGGCGAACACGUUGACUAGCUGUACCACGUAGAAAGGCAUCCAGCAGAUGACAAAAACCAUCACCACCAUCAUCACCAUUAGAGUGAUCUUGCGCUCUGAGCGCUUGCGCUGCUGCCAGCCGGCCUUGAGGGCCACCAUGCGCAUCUUGGCAAUGAUGAGCACGUAACACAGGCAGAUGGCCCCGACAGGCAGCAGGAAGCCCAUGAGAAAUGUGUAUAAGACGAAGCCCACCAACCAGCGCUGGGCGGGCUCGGGCAUGAGCAUGUUGCAGGCCACCGUGCCAUCGCUGUUGGCUGCGGUGCGUGAGAAGACCACGAUGGGCAAGAUAACCAGUAGCGACAGCACCCACACGCCCAGGUUCACUACUUUGGCCACAGUGGGCCGACGGUAGCGCGCUGCCUUGAUCGGGUGCACCACAGCCACAUAGCGGUCCACACUAAGCACAGUCAGACAGUAGAUGCUGGUGAACAUGUUGACUGCAUCC
rnacentral:lncRNA from 1 species